rfam:Diaporthe ampelina DA_912_scaffold_v01_130, whole genome shotgun sequence.
GGCACUGUGGCAGAGUGGUCUAAUGCGAUAGACUUGAAUUUUCCUUCAUGAUAUCUAUUCUCUUCGGAGGCGUCCGUUCAAACCGGGCCAGUGUCG